rnacentral:rRNA from 1 species
UACGAAGGGGGCUAGCGUUGUUCGGAAUUACUGGGCGUAAAGCGUAUGCAGGCGGAUCGUUAAGUCGGGGGUGAAAUCCCGAGGCUCAACCUCGGAACUGCCUUCGAUACUGGCGACCUUCGAGUCCGGGAGAGGUGGGUGGAAUUCCGAGUGUAGAGGUGAAAUUCGUAGAUAUUCGGAGGAACACCAGUGGCGAAGGCGGCCCACUGGCUCGACACUGACGCUGAGGCGCGAAAGCGUGGGGAGCAAACAGG